GGCAAGAUGGCCGAGCGGUCUAAGGCGCCACGUUCAGGUUAUCCAAACUUGAAUCUCCUUUCGUGGUCUCGCAAGAGGCGUGAGUUCGAAUCUCACUCUUGUCA